AUGUGGAAUCAGCGCGUACAAGUCGUCAUUCAAACAAAGGUACUGCACUCUCAAAGACUGAAUGAACCAGCAUUGCAGCCCUGGGUCACUGUGAGCAUCACAGGGAAGGUUGAAGCCGCCCACUGCACCUGUAUGGCCGGAGUCUCGGAGACCUGCACCCAUGUCGCUGCUCUUCUGUUUAAUGUAGAUGCAACAGUGCGGAUCCGUGGCACAAGGACUGUUACAGAUGAACCUGCAUACUUUGGUUUUGCCUGGUAAUAUGACCAAGAUGCCAUAAGAUGGACUUCUCCUCUUCAGCUGCCCAAAAAAAGGCUCUUGAUCAAAACAUAAACAGACCAUCCGUAUUGAAAGGUAAAAGAAGCCGUCCUCAAAAAAGAAAAAUCCCAUCUGCUACUGAGGAGGCGUUGUCACUGCUAUAAUGCCAUAAUGUUUUAUCUAGGGGUCUAGAUUUAUGCCUGAAGUGCACUGACAUGUAAAUAAUUUGCAUUUACUGAAUAUGUACUGACUGAGUACCACUGUUCUAAAAAUUAAAUACAGAAACAAACUAAUUUUUGCCUCUUUUUUUUUUUUUUUUUAUUAAAACCACUUUAUAGAACAGGGGUCGGCAACCCUCGGCACGCGUUAACUGAUGGCACGACCAAUGCUGGACAGGCCAUCGGGCAUUUGCUCGGUGGCCCGGUGACUUUUUCUUCCCUUUGUAACGGUAUAAACAAUGAAAGGUGGUGGUUUGUCCAGAUGCUGGUCGGUGUGUAAAAAUAACUCAGUUGUGUCGUGGUGGCUAUGGCGGCGCUUCCUCAGAUUCAGUAAAAUUAGCAACUGGUGGAGGCCAGCAGGUGGAUGAGAGAAAAGGGAGGCAGGAGGAGGAGAGACCCGAGGCGGCCGAGUAUCAGGUGAACUGAACUUCAGGUAAGAAGUUAUGAAAAGGAACACAGUUUGUCCCGUACUUUAGCUAAAAUGAAAAAAAGACACAACGCUGGAUUUAUUCUGUCGUUACGCUGUCAGCUGCCUCUUCUUCUCUCGUUCUCUCCCCCUCCCUCUCCUGUUGCUACUUCAAUCAUGAAACGAUCAAUGAUCAGCUGAUCGGCUUCUCUCUUGUGUUUGUUUAUUUGCGCCAGAAAGAGGAAACCAGCGGAUGUCGCGCUAAACAACAGCAGCACGUUUAAGCUUGAUCAGCUGUUGUUAGAAUUUAUUUAAUAUUACUUUCUAGUAUCAGAUGAUGUUUGCUGGAGCCACAGCUGUAAAGCUGCUGGUCAUGAUGGUUUGUACAUCUGGUGAAAGGGAAGCAUGAAGAUGAAACCAGGAGAUGUCCUUACUGAAUCAUCAGAGCUGAACAGGUGAUGGAGAAACAGGUUUACCUUUUAGGUGACAUGGAUGAGUUGAAGGGAAGUUAUGAACUGUUUCUGAGAGACAAAUAACACCAGGAUCUGUUUCUAAAUAGCUGACAGCUGGUAACUGUGCAGGGGCGGGUUUUGGGACUUUCAGGUGUAUGGACCAAUGUUUUAUUUUCUGAUCAAACCAGAAAUCUUUAAUGAGCACCUAGAUUUGUCUCGCAUUAACUGGCUGAGUUAAUGCCAGUUAAUGCGACAUCGAAGCAGCUGGAAUCUACAGCUGUGCGUGUUCAUGGUGUUUGCAUUUUC
rnacentral:lncRNA from 1 species